rnacentral:rRNA from 1 species
ACUCCUACGGGAGGCAGCAGUGGGGAAUAUUGCACAAUGGGCGCAAGCCUGAUGCAGCCAUGCCGCGUGUAUGAAGAAGGCCUUCGGGUUGUAAAGUACUUUCAGCAGUGAGGAAGGUGGGUAUGUUAAUAGCAUAUUCAUUUGACGUUAGCUGCAGAAGAAGCACCGGCUAACUCCGUGCCAGCAGCCGCGGUAAUACGGAGGGUGCGAGCGUUAAUCGGAAUUACUGGGCGUAAAGCGCAUGCAGGUGGUUUGUUAAGUCAGAUGUGAAAGCCCGGGGCUCAACCUCGGAAUUGCAUUUGAAACUGGCAAACUAGAGUACUGUAGAGGGGGGUAGAAUUUCAGGUGUAGCGGUGAAAUGCGUAGAGAUCUGAAGGAAUACCGGUGGCGAAGGCGGCCCCCUGGACAGAUACUGACACUCAGAUGCGAAAGCGUGGGGAGCAAACAGGAUUAGAUACCCUGGUGGCUCUGC